rnacentral:rRNA from 1 species
AUUAAUUUAAUGGCUGCAGUAUUUUAACUGUACAAAGGUAGCAUAAUAAUUAGUUCCUUAAUUAGGGACUGGAAUGAAGGAUUGAACGAGAUAAAAAUUGUCUCUUUUUAAAUUUUAUAAUUUUAUUUUUAAGUUAAAAAGCUUAAAUAUUAUUAAAAGACGAGAAGACCCUAUAGAGUUUUAUAGUUAUAAUAUAAGUAAGUUUUAGUAAUAAAAUUUUAUUUAUACAAUGAUUAUUUGAUUGGGGUGAUUUUAAAAUUUAAAAAACUUUAAUAUAAUUUACAUUAAUAUAUGAAUAAUUGAUCCAUAUUUUAUGAUUAAAAGAUUAAAUUACCUUAGGGAUAACAGCGUAAUUUUUUUUAAGAGUUCUAAUCGAAAAAAAAGAUUGCGACCUCGAUGUUGGAUUAAAAUUAAUUUUUGGUGUAGAAGCUAAAAUAUUAGGUCUGUUCGACCUUUAAAAUUUUACAUGAUCUGAGUUUAAAUCGGCGUGAGCCAGGUUGGUUUCUAUCUUUAAUUAAAUAGAAUAUUUUAGUACGAAAGGACCAUAUAUUUAUAAAGUUUAUUUAUUUAUGAUUAAUAUUA